CACGUUCCCUGGCUGGAUGCGACACGGGGCGGGGAGGAGCCGCCCGGCCGCUGCGUGCGGGGGCUCUGCGCGCUCUUAAGAGACGGGGAGCGGCAGCUGGAGACAGUCUGUGCCUUCCUGUGUGUCCGAGGCUGGGCCAGCAAACACGUCCCUCGACGACUGUCCAACCUUUGAAACUGUGGAGCUCCCGGCAGGUUUCGGUUGGCUCUGGUGGAGAUAUCAGGUACACUGGCUUUUUUGUAGUUAGAAUCCUAAACGUGUAAUUGAAGGGCUGAGUUUUAAACCACCAGUUUUGGCUUCUUGAUUUUGCAAGAUGCAUCAUUACACGCAUAGGUAUGUAAUUUACAUAGAGCACACCAAGAAAUUAUUCGAGAUACACAAGGUGAGUAACCAAUAAAUUUUUACAUAUGUAUGUACAGAAUCACAGAAUCUGUGAGGUGGCAAAAGACCUCUGAGAAAAUCAAAUCGAACCUUUGACUGAACACCACCAUAGCAACUAGACCAUGGCACUGAGUGCCACAUCCAGUCUUUACUUAAAGACUUCCAAGGACAUAGGUUGCACCACCUCCCUGCCAGCCCAUUCCAAUGUCUAAUCACCAUUUUCUGUGAAGAAAUUCCUCGUGAAGUCCAACCUAAACCACCCCUGACACAGCCUGUGGCUAUGUCCUCCUGUCCUGUCUCUUGAUAGCUGGGAGAAGAGGCUGACCCCCACCUGGCUGCCCCCUCCUUUCAGGUGGUUGUAGAGUGAGAGGGCUACCUCUGAGCCUCUUCUACAGGCUAAACAACCCCAUUCCUUCAGUCAUUCUUGUACUUGUGUGCAAGUACAUAAACAAAGGUUUUCCCAGCUAAGAGCUUUUUAAAAAAACCCAAGCCAAACACCUAACCCUGCCCAGGGAGAAAAACAUGUUAGGAUACCUGCACGUUACAUAGGAUGGCUGAGAUGCCUGUUUGUUACUAGUUGCAAAUGGAAGGAACAGUCCUUCAGCCAGGAUGUGGAAGAGAAUUCCUUCCCAAAUACUGAGACUUUCAGUGUCCCAACUGCCAAAAACCAAAGCCACCUCCUACACCUUCCUGGAUGCGAGAAGCCCCAACUGCCCGCUAUCCAUCUGUCAAAAUUUAUAGAUCUCCUUAGACAAAUAUUAACAAUUCAGUCAUGCGCAAAGCCUGCGGCAUAUUGAAAAAAUUGGGAGAAGGAUAAAAUACAGUGAAUGUAAUGUAAAAAUAA